rnacentral:tRNA from 1 species
GGAGGGAUGGCCGAGCGGUCUAAGGCGUCGGUUUUGAAAACCGGUAGGCCCGGUAACGGGUCUCGUGGGUUCGAAUCCCACUCCCUCCG